rnacentral:rRNA from 1 species
CAGUAGCCGCGGGAAUACGGAGGGUGCAAGCGUUAAUCGGAAUUACUGGGCGUAAAGCGCACGCAGGCGGUUUGUUAAGUCGGAUGUGAAAUCCCUGAGCUUAACUUAGGAAUUGCAUUCGAUACUGGGAAGCUAGAGUAUGGGAGAGGAUGGUAGAAUUCCAGGUGUAGCGGUGAAAUGCGUAGAGAUCUGGAGGAAUACCGAUGGCGAAGGCAGCCAUCUGGCCUAAUACUGACGCUGAGGUACGAAAGCAUGGGGAGCAAACAGGAUUAGAUACCCCAGUAGUCCCUGUCUCUUAUAA